AAAGUGGCCUUUCAAGUUAGCUAUCAGAUCCCAAGGCUCAACCCUAAGGCGUGGAAACUACCAAGGUGAUCUAUGAUAAGGGUAGAGGGAAUUUCUGGUGCAAUGGUGAAAUGCAUAGAGAUCAGAAAGAACACCAACAACAAAAGCACUCUACUAGGCCGAUAGUGCACUU
rnacentral:ncRNA from 1 species